rnacentral:rRNA from 1 species
AAACUAAGUUUCAACAACGGAUCUCUUGGCUCUCGCAUCGAUGAAGAACGCAGCGAAAUGCGAUAAGUAAUGUGAAUUGCAGAAUUCAGUGAAUCAUCGAAUCUUUGAACGCACCUUGCGCUCCUUGGUAUUCCUUGGAGCAUGCCUGUUUGAGUAUCAUGAA